rnacentral:rRNA from 1 species
UACGUAGGGUGCGAGCGUUGUCCGGAAUUAUUGGGCGUAAAGAGCUUGUAGGCGGUUUGUCGCGUCUGCUGUGAAAACGCGGGGCUCAACUCCGCGCCUGCAGUGGGUACGGGCAGACUAGAGUGCAGUAGGGGAGACUGGAAUUCCUGGUGUAGCGGUGGAAUGCGCAGAUAUCAGGAGGAACACCGGUGGCGAAGGCGGGUCUCUGGGCUGUAACUGACGCUGGAGGAGCGAAAGCGUGGGUAGCGAACAGG